GGGCUGCGUGGGGGCGGGUUCCGGGGAGGGCUGCAGGACGUGGGUGCUAGAGUCCCUAAGCUCCCGGGGUGCCCGCGCCCCUGGGCUCCCCGACUGACGGCAGCCCCUGACCACGGCCCUUACCCAACUGAAGAUACAUAUGCGACUGCGACAAAGCCCGAUCUCCCGUGAGAGGGCCGACCCCACGCACCCGAUGAGGGUGGGGAUGCCUCCCUGUUGCUUGGUGAUGCGGACCGAGUAAAAGCCCUUCGAGAACGUGAGACCGGCAGCUGCGGUGCGCACCCGUCAGCUCUCUCCAGUGCAAAAGAGAAGGAAUGGGCAAGCUCUUCAGCUGAGAGGCAAGAGUCGGGGGGUUCUCAAGACCGGAGAAACCGUGGAGUGCUCGCUUUGGAAAGGAAAAAGGUGAACAUACUUGGGUGGAGGUGUAAGAAUGCUAGAAGAAACCUUUUAGAGACGAUUGGUUACAUCUACAAUCAGGGAAUCAGCUCUUUGCAACAGAGACCAUUAUAGAAAAUACCACCAAUCAACAUGCAGAGUGGUGGAGCCCAGUCCUAAUGGACACAUCUACAAAACACUCCUUCGAACGCUCAGGGAACUCUGCAGAAGAGGAGACCAAAAGACUGUUAAGAGCCAGAGGAUCAGGGAAUUUGCUGUGAGACUGUGUCUCCUAGUAACAUCAGAAGCUACACACAUAAAGUCUCACCAACGUGGCUGUCCAAAUGUGAGCUGGACAAGGAUGACGUCAAUGAAUAUGCCAUACUGGAUGCGGAAACCCCACAAGGCCUUGACCCUACACAAAGAAUGACAGGCAACUGAGUAAAACCAGAAGCAGGAGAGGUGGGUCUCCCCAGGGACAGCACAUUCACUGGUUGUCCAGUUCCAAAUGGUAAGCCUGAAAACAUGUAUCCAAGCAACUCUACGUGGAUGAAACAAACAGGUUAUAUUUAGAAAUAAAUAUAGCCUUUAAUCCCAGCACUCGGGAGGCAGAGGCAGGCGGAUCUCUGUUAGUUUGAGGUCAGCCUGGUCUACAGAGCGAGUUCCAGGACAGCCAAAGCUACAGAGAAACCCUGUCUUGGGAAAAAAACAAAAGAACAUCAAUGACUGUGAUCAGUUGGGAUGUCUUGGGCUGCCUUACCCUCUAAGUAGAAGAUUAUCUCUAAUUGCAGGUGUCUAUGAAUGACCUAACAUCCUUGUGACUAUUAGGUAAAUCCUUAUGGAAUGUAGCAACAGUCCCCACCAAUUAAAGGCUGUCAUCAGAAAACAUUCCAGAAAUAUUCCAAGAGGCUUCCCACUUGGAUGUAACUUACCUACCUGCUGUUUUCACCAAUUCCUUUUAAAAGUGUGUUAGGACCAGGCAUGAAGGCACAUGCCUGUAAUCCCAGGAAAACAAAACACACACACACACACACACACACACACACACACACACACACACGGCCUUGAUUUGUGGUUUUUCCUUGUUCUAUUUCUGUAAAAACUUCAUAAAAUUGUUAUCAUAUUGAACACAUUGAAACAUGGCGUUUAGAAUGAACUGAAUCUGUGCUCCCAGGCCACAGUCACUUGUGUUUGGCUCCUGAAUAAACUCUUAUUCCUUUUGAGGUGACAA